UCAGGGGGCCGGGCAGCCGCGUCGAGGGAAACUUCGCCGAGGAAAGUCCGGGCUCCACGAAACAAGGGUGGCGGGUAACGCCCGCCGGGUCUGGAGGCUUGCUUCCGGAUUUAGGGAAAGUGCCACAGAGAGCAAACCGCCGAUCGGGCCCGCCGUUUUUGGAUGGCGAGAACGAGGUAAGGGUGAAAGGGUGCGGUAAGAGCGCACCGCGCGGCCGGCAACGGCAGCGGCAUGGUAAACCCCACCCGGAGCAAGACCGAAUAGGGACAGCGCGCCGGUUCUUGCCACAAGCAGGGACGGGCAGGCAGGUUUCGAGCCCAGUUCCCUUGGGGGCUGCGUUGUCCGGGUUGGUUGCUGGAGCGCGUCGGCAACGUCGCGCCAAGAGGAAUGGCUGCCCAUGCGGAAGGGGUGACCCGACCGCAAGACAGAACCCGGCUUACAGGCCCCCUGACGCU
rnacentral:RNase_P_RNA from 1 species